AGUGAACGCUGGCGGUAGGCCUAACACAUGCAAGUCGAACGGCAGCACAGUAAGAGCUUGCUCUUACGGGUGGCGAGUGGCGGACGGGUGAGGAAUACAUCGGAAUCUACUUUUUCGUGGGGGAUAACGUAGGGAAACUUACGCUAAUACCGCAUACGACCUACGGGUGAAAGCAGGGGAUCUUCGGACCUUGCGCGAUUGAAUGCGCCGAUGUCGGAUUAGAUAGUUGGCGGGGUAAAGGCCCACCCAGGCGACGAUCCGUAGCUGGUCUGAGAGGAUGAUAAGCCACACUGGAACUGAGACACGGUCAAGACUCCUAAGGGAGGCAGCAGUGGGGAAUAUUGGACAAUGGGCGCAAGCCUGAUCCAGACAUACCGCGUGGGUGAAGAAGGCCUUCGGGUUGUAAAGCCCUUUUGUUGGGAAAGAAAAGCAGCAGGUUAAGACCCAGCUGUUCUGACGGUAACCAAAGAAUAAGCACCGGCUAACUUCGUG
rnacentral:rRNA from 1 species